CACACACUAGGACAGAGGGAUACCCAGGGGAGACCCAAAGUAUGCAAAGGCAGAGGAAACUAAGUCUCUUCAAAGAUGAUCAGUUUUUAAAUUUAGAGCUGUUCUUCAAUGACCCAAUUCUCCCCUUUAAUAGAAACAGGAACACGAGCCUGGCUUUUUCCUCUAAAACACAAUAAGCACAUGGCCUCCAGUCAAGUGUCAAGUAUCU